rnacentral:rRNA from 1 species
GAUGAACGCUGGCGGCGUGCUUAACACAUGCAAGUCGAACGGAAAGGCCCAAGCUUGCUUGGGUACUCGAGUGGCGAACGGGUGAGUAACACGUGGGUGAUCUGCCCUGCACUUCGGGAUAAGCCUGGGAAACUGGGUCUAAUACCGGAUAGGACCACAUUUUGGAUGGUGUGGUGGAAAGUUUUUCGGUGUGGGAUGAGCUCGCGGCCUAUCAGCUUGUUGGUGGGGUAAUGGCCUACCAAGGCGUCGACGGGUAGCCGGCCUGAGAGGGUGUACGGCCUCAUUGGGACUGAGAUACGGCCCAGACUCCUACGGGAGGCAGCAGUGGGGAAUAUUGCACAAUGGGCGCAAGCCUGAUGCAGCGACGCCGCGUGGGGGAUGACGGCCUUCGGGUUGUAAACUCCUUUCGCUAGGGACGAAGCGUUAUGUGACGGUACCUGGAGAAGAAGCACCGGCUAACUACGUG